AGAUAAUAACGAAUGUUUCUCACAGCCAUGUUCGAACGGGGGAAAUUGUAUUGAUGAAAUCGCAGACUUCUCCUGCAAUUGCACAUCAGGAUUUACCGGAGAUUAUUGUCAGACAGACAUCGAUGAAUGUUCAUCAAGCCCUUGUCUCAAUGGUGGCGUAUGUAAAGACGGAAUAAACCGAUAUGUCUGUCAGUGUCCGAGGGGAUAUGGUGGUGACACUUGUCAAAAGGUGACUAAUCCGUGUAAAGACAACCCUUGUGUUAGAGGCACGUGCUUUGCUCAUUUGUCGCAAUUCAUCUGCGAGUGUCCUUCAGGAUAUACUGGAAAACUCUGUGAAACUACCAUACAACUGACACUCUAUGGGCCUAAGGAGGUGUUCAUCACGUUACCGGCUGGGAACCAGUUGAACUUAAACUGUAGUGUUUCUCAUAGAGGGUACUAUGAUACCUAUUUCAAAUGGUCAAAGAGAAGAUACUGUGGUGGAUCCUUCAGCUCACAUAGUCGAUCCUUUAAACAUCAUAAAGCACAUACAAAUAUUGGGGAUGCUGGAACCUACGUUGCGAAGCUUC